rnacentral:rRNA from 1 species
ACUUCCUACGGGGGGCAGCAGUCGGGAAUAUUGCGCAAUGGAGGAAACUCUGACGCAGUGACGCCGCGUAUAGGAAGAAGGUUUUCGGAUUGUAAACUAUUGUCGUUAGGGAAGAAAAAAGACAGUACCUAAGGAGGAAGCUCCGGCUAACUACGUGCCAGCAGCCGCGGUAAUACGUAGGGAGCAAGCGUUAUCCGGAAUUAUUGGGUGUAAAGGGCGUGUAGGCGGGAGCGCAAGUCAGAUGUGAAAACUCAGGGCUCAACCCUGAGCCUGCAUUUGAAACUGUGUUUCUUGAGUGCUGGAGG